UACGGAGGGGCUAGCGUUGUUCGGAAUUACUGGGCGUAAAGCGCGCGUAGGCGGCUUUGUAAGUUAGAGGUGAAAGCCCGGAGACUCAACUCCGGAAUUGCCUUUAAGACUGCAUCGCUAGAAUCAUGGAGAGGUGAGUGGAAUUCCGAGUGUAGAGGUGAAAUUCGUAGAUAUUCGGAAAGAACACCAGUGGCGAAGGCGACUCACUGGACAUGUAUUGACGCUGAGGUGCGAAAGCGUGGGAGCAACAGGG
rnacentral:rRNA from 1 species